UACAGAGGUGGCAAGCGUUGUUCGGAAUUACUGGGCGUAAAGGGCGCGUAGGCGGCCUUCUAAGUCAGACGUGAAAUCCCCCGGCUUAACCUGGGAACUGCGUCUGAUACUGGAAGGCUCGAGUGCGGGAGAGGGAUGUGGAAUUCCAGGUGUAGCGGCGAAAUGCGUAGAUAUCUGGAGGAACACCGGUGGCGAAGGCGGCAUCCUGGACCGACACUGACGCUGAGGCGCGAAAGCUAGGGUAGCAAACGGG
rnacentral:rRNA from 1 species